AUUGAACGCUGGCGGCAGGCCUAACACAUGCAAGUCGAACGAGUGGCGGACGGGUGAGUAAUGUCUGGGAAACUGCCUGAUGGAGGGGGAUAACUACUGGAAACGGUAGCUAAUACCGCAUACCAUCGGAUGUGCCCAGAUGGGCUUAGCUUGUGGGGGGGGUAACGGCUAACCAAGGCGACGAUCCCUAGCUGGUCUGAGAGGAUGACCAGCCAGUAUGGAACUGAGACACGGUCCAGACGCCGACGGGAGGCAGGAGGGGGGAAUAUUGCAAAAUGGGCGCAAGCCUGAGGCAGCUAUGCCGCGGGUUUGAAGAAGGCCGUCGGGUUGUAAAGUACUUUCAGCGGGGAGGCGUGACCGACAGAAGAAGCACCGGCUAAAUCCGUGCCAGCAGCCGCGGUAAUUC
rnacentral:rRNA from 1 species